GCCAGCGUAGCUCAGCUGGUAGAGCAACUGAUUCGUAAUCAGUAGGUCACCGGUUCGAUUCCGGUCGCUGGCUCCA
rnacentral:tRNA from 1 species